rnacentral:tRNA from 1 species
UGUAUGUAAUUUAAAAAAAAUACCAAGCUGUGACCUUUGGAAC